UACGUAGGGGACGAGCGUUGUCCGGAGUUACUGGGCGUAAAGCGCCCGCAGGCGGUCCGCUCAGUUUGCGCUGACAGCUCCUGGCUUAACUGGGAGAGUGGUGCGAAGACGGGCGGACUGAGAGGACCAGAGAGGGACAUGGAACUCCGGGUGUAGUGGUGAAAUGCGUAGAUAUCCGGAAGAACACCAAAGGCGAAGGCAGUGUCCUGGCUGGUACCUGACGCUGAAGGGCGAAAGCUAGGGGAGCGAACGGG
rnacentral:rRNA from 1 species